rnacentral:rRNA from 1 species
UACGGGGGGUGCGAGCGUUGUCCGGAAUCAUUGGGCGUAAAGGGCGCGUAGGUGGCGGGACAAGCGUGCGGUGAAAGCUCGGGGCUCAACCCCGAGUCGGCCGUGCGAACUGUUUUGCUGGAGCACUGUAGAGGCAGGCGGAAUUCCGGGUGUAGCGGUGGAAUGCGUAGAGAUCCGGAAGAACACCGGUGGCGAAGGCGGCCUGCUGGGCAGUUGCUGACACUGAGGCGCGACAGCGUGGGGAGCAAACAGG